rnacentral:misc_RNA from 1 species
UCUCCGUAGGUGAACCAGCGGAAGGAUCAUUAUUGAGUAUACAACUUCCAAACCCCGGCGAACACCCCUAACGUCGCGCACGCGCAACCGCCCCCACACCCAUCCAUCUCGACCCUGUGUCCACCACCGAGUCGGUACCCCUUUGGUUUGUUCGGAUGGUGGCUUAAAAUUACACAAAAACUUUAAAUUUUGUAUAAAAGGUAUUUUUUGUUUUUGCGAUCACGCAAACAAUACAACUUUGAACAACGGAUCUCUUGACUCUCGCCUCGAUGAUGAACC